rnacentral:rRNA from 1 species
UCUUNCCAGAAAGGGACGGCUAACUACGUGCCAGCAGCCGCGGUAAUACGUAGNUCCCGAGCGUUGUCCGGAUUUAUUGGGCGUAAAGCGAGCGCAGGCGGUUAGAUGANUCUGAAGUUAAAGGCUGUGGCUUANCCAUAGUACGCUUUGGAAACUGUUUAACUUGAGUGCAGAAGGGGAGAGUGGAAUUCCAUGUGUAGCGGUGAAAUGCGUAGAUAUAUGGAGGAACACCGGUGGCGAAAGCGGCUCUCUGGUCUGUAACUGACGCUGAGGCUCGAAAGCGUGGGGAGCGAACAGGAUUAGAUACCCUGGUAGUCCACGCCGUAAACGAUGAGUGCUAGGUGUUAGGCCCUUUCCGGGGCUUAGUGCCGCAGCUAACGCAUUAAGCACUCCGCCUGGGGAGUACGACCGCAAGGUUGAAACUCAAAGGAAUUGACGGGGGCCCGCACAAGCGGUGGAGCAUGUGGUUUAAUUCGAAGCAACGCGAAGAACCUUACCAGGUCUUGACAUCCCGAUGCCCGCUCUAGAGAUAGAGUUUUACUUCGGUACAUCGGUGACAGGUGGUGCAUGGUUGUCGUCAGCUCGUGUCGUGAGAUGUUGGGUUAGUCUCGCAACGAGCGCAACCCUUAUUGUUAGUUGCCAUCAUUCAGUUGGGCACUCUAGCGAGACUGCCGGUAAUAAACCGGAGGAAGGUGGGGAUGACGUCAAAUCAUCAUGCCCCUUAUGACCUGGGCUACACACGUGCUACAAUGGCUGGUACAACGAGUCGCAAGUCGGUGACGGCAAGCUAAUCUCUUAAAGCCAGUCUCAGUUCGGAUUGUAGGCUGCAACUCGCCUACAUGAAGUCGGAAUCGCUAGUAAUCGCGGAUCAGCACGCCGCGGUGAAUACGUUCCCGGGCCUUGUACACACCGCCCGUCACACCACGAGAGUUUGUAACACCCGAAGUCGGUGAGGUA